rnacentral:lncRNA from 1 species
UAUUCUUUUCCAAAUGAAAGAUUGGCAGCUAGAGAAUAUUGCCUGAACUUGAAAGAGUACACAGAUUACAUGUACACACAUUUCAUGGCCUAGGUAAAAUCUUGAUUAUAUUGCUAUCUUAUCCACUUUAUUCACUAUGCCUGUAUCAGUGGCAUGCAUGCUGUGAGAAAAAAAAAAAUCUCCACAGACUAGAACUGUGACCUGUUACAAGGAAUAGAUUGUUUUCUGGGUUUUUGAGAUGAAAUAUUUUGAGGAAAUUCUAUAACAUUAUUGACUGACCUUCUGUAGGACUACUGAAAAAUAUACUGCAAGAUCAAAACAACUUAAUUUUUAUAUUGAUUGAAGCUUUUAAUUCUUCAGAAUAAUUUGUCCUUUUAUAGUGAGUUGUGCUUUUCUUCUUGUCAGGGGUUUCAUAGGUUUACUAGUAAUGGUUGAAAAAAGUGUACAAAAAACCCUCAUAAAGUUGCAGCAAUUAUUUACAACAUAAAAUCUUCAGUGACUAUUUACAAAGCCUUCAGUUGUUCAAAUGUACACAUAGUGUAUUAUUUAUUAUUUCUUGUUGUUUCUAUUGUUGCUGCUCUGAGUGAUCAACCAUCCUCCUUACUACCACCUGACGGGCACAGCUGGAGGGUCCCUGAGAGCCUGGGGGCGUGUGGAGGGAGGCUGGAGGCCUGGGACUCCCGGUGGAGCAGGGGCAGCUCUGCGCACAGGCCUGUGGCUGCAGUCCGGGCUCGGUGAAAGCCAAGGUGCAGCGUGCAGGGAGGGCAAGUCCAUGGCUGCCCGGCUCAGAACCAUGCACCAACACAAGGAGCCCUCACUCCUGGCUAUGGGGCUGGGACUUGGACCUGGAGGGGUCCUAUGGUCCUCUGCAGACCUGACCCUGUCAUCCUCAGAGCCCACACCUGAGAUGAUGGGAGUCCCCUCCAUCCAUGUUCCCUGUGUUGUUACUGGGGAGGGCUGGGCUGAUGAAAGCUGUCAGCCCAGCCAGUGGCUGCAAUCUCAGGGCUCAUGCAGUGCCUCCCCAGAAGGCUGUGCCAUGCCCUGACAGCAAGUGCCCAAAUUUCAGUCUUUUGUAGUUGAAGAACUGAAGUACUCAAUUCAGCAACUGAACUUUAUGAAAUUUUUAGGAAACCAGUGGGACCUUGGACCUGAUGAAAUUUGAAUGUGACUGGUCAGUGGAUUUAACAGGUUUGUGGAUUUUUAUGAAAAACAUUUCUGGGAUGUUUCUAAGCAAAAUCUUUGGGAUCAAGUAAGAUGUCUUUGCCAAUGAAGAUGAG